rnacentral:rRNA from 1 species
AGAGUUGAUCCUGGCUCAGAGCGAACGUUAGCGCGCGCCUAACACAUGCAAGUCGCACGAGAAAGGGCCUCGGCCCCGGUACAGUGGCGCACGGGUGAGUAACACGUGGGUGACCUUCCCAGAUGUGGUGGAUAACCUGCCGAAAGGCGGGCUAAUACAGCAUACGCUGGCGGCUCUUCGGGGCCGUCAGGAAAGCAGGCCUCUCUAUAGAAGCUUGCGCAUCUGGCUGGGCCCGCGUCCCAUCAGCUAGUUGGUGAGGUAACGGCUCACCAAGGCGACGACGGGUAGCUGGUCUGAGAGGAUGGCCAGCCACACUGGAACUGAGACACGGUCCAGACUCCUACGGGAGGCAGCAGUGGGGAAUCUUGCGCAAUGGACGAAAGUCUGACGCAGCGACGCCGCGUGGGCGACGAAGGCCUUCGGGUUGUAAAGCCCUGUGGGGCGGGACGAACGGGCGUGGGGUUAACACCCCCGCGUCGUGACGGUACCGCCUUAGCAAGCACCGGCUAACUCUGUGCCAGCAGCCGCGGUAAGACAGAGGGUGCAAACGUUGCUCGGAAUUACUGGGCGUAAAGCGCGUGUAGGCGGUUACGCGAGUCAGGUGUGAAAGCCCAGGGCUCAACCCUGGAAGUGCACUUGAUACUACGUAGCUGGAGUCCUGUAGAGGAGAGCGGAAU